UCUCAGUUAGUAUAGUGGUCAGUAUCUCCGCCUGUCAUAAGGGAGAUCGCGUAUCUCCGCCUGCUAUAAGUGAGAUCGCGGAAGACCCGGGUUCGAUUCCCGGACUGAGAG